rnacentral:lncRNA from 1 species
UUUUUAUCUCUUUAAAAUUUUGAGUCUUAGCCUCUUAUUGGUAUUUGGAGUCCACGACCAGGCUAUAAAAAAGUUUUCCACUUUGUGCAUUUAGUAUAGGAAAUUAUUUUAUAGCCAUGUAAGAGUCUGCACGCUUUUUAUUUCAGCUAACAAUCUGAAUGAAGCAGUACAGUGUAUUGAUUGGCAGUUGGGUUUCUUUCUGUUCUUGCCUGCCUCCCACUCUUCUCUUGCCCCACCAGCCCAAUUUGAUCCAAACUUUUUAGAGAGGGGUUUAGGGAUGAAUUUUGAAUGAAAUAGACUGUAGAAAUUGGAUGGAAAGAUAAAAUAAGACAUGUGAAUGUAAAGACUGAACAAGUUUCUGCGCUGGAGAGUCCAUCUAGAACUCAACCGUGGGCAUUGAACCAAGGACUGAUGCUGAAUAUUAAGCAGAAAGCAGUAGAAAGUACUUGGAAAAUUACUAAAUGGGAGGUAAAGAUGAGUUAAUAUAGUUUUCGAGGACAGUUAAUUUUGGAGAUUUUAGGCUUAAUCGUUUUUUCUAACACAGAGGUUAGUACUCAGCGCUUAUUCUUAUGGGUUGAGAAAAGGUAAGAAGGAAGCUUCAGGAACAUGAGGGUGGUUAGGACCCAGAGCAACGGAGUUCAGAAAGUUCUGCGAGAUGUUUUGCUUGUUAGACAUUUUUUCACACUAUUCAAACUUCCAGGUAGGCUUUUUACCUCCUGUAUUAUCCUCCCACAAGUCUGAAUUUUGUUCUGUUCUUCACAAAGACUUGUGUAUUUUUUUAAACAUUAAAUGAAAUCACAAAGAACUGUGGUCUGCUUUGUGACCAUUUACAUUUAAAUGGUCUCAUGGAGUGUACAACUGAACUGGAGAUACUCUGUCUCUCAGAGAGAUAAGAAUGAGUAAGUUUCACAUGCCUUCAGGUACUAGGCAGAUAAUGAGCAUGUCAGUGCGCUAGAGAGCUUCUCUCCUCUGAGCCGUAUUCAGUCCGUCUGAUUAAUUGUAUGAAUGUGCAGUCAGUUGUCAGCCUUCUUAAAAGAAUAUAGGAACUCUAGAAUUUUAAGUGCGACUUCCUGAUAUUUGAAAUAUUGACAAGUAAAACAAAGAUACCUUCAUGUGACCCAGCCAAACCCAGUUGUAUUUUAACAUAAAAGUAUUUUAGAGCUAUGUUUUAUGUCUUGGUUUAGGAAGCUGUAUAUAGGUCAGAAUUAAUUUUAUAACUAGAAACAAGCUUAAGUCAACUAUGUCAGUUUGGAAUUACAAAUUUUUAGAAAGACUGUGAAAAAAUGUCAGCUCUUAAUAAAAUAGUUUAGUGCCCUUUAAAUAUAGGGCUACAGAUUAAACAGAUAAUUUCUAAAGUAGUCUCUCAUUGUCUGUCUACACUUUUGUUUUUUUUGUAGUUUAUUGCUGGUUUGAAAUCAUUAAAUG